CAAUAGUGUAUAUUAAAGUUGUUGCAGUUAAAAAGCUCGUAGUUGGAUUUCUGGUGGGAGCGAUCGGUCUGGCGCUUAGCGCGAGUACUUGCAUCGUCUCCGGCCAUCCUUGGGGAGAGUCUGUCUGGCAUUAGGUUGUCGGGCAGAGGAUCCUCAUCGUUUACUGUGAAAAAAUUAGAGUGUUCAAAGCAGGCUUAUGCCGUUGAAUAUAUUAGCAUGGAAUAAUAAGAUAGGACUUUGGUACUAUUUUGUUGGUUUGCGCACCAAAGUAAUGAUUAAUAGGGACAGUUGGGGGUAUUCGUAUUCCGUUGUCAGAGGUGAAAUUCUUGGAUUUACGGAAGACGAACUACUGCGAAAGCAUUCACCAAGGAUGUUUUCAUUAA
rnacentral:rRNA from 1 species